AAAAUACCCAUUUGAUAAUGCAAUCCUAUGUGUGGCUUAAAUGGAUUAAAAAAAAAUUAAAAAAAGUUAUGUGUUGUAGCCAAAUCCCUCGUCGUUUAUUAUUUUUUUUAUCAUCAAUUGUUCAAUAAUUUGUAAAAUAUUUGUAAAAAAAAAACCCAGAAACCCUUCUUCCCCCUUCCCCAACUCUGGACGUGAUUACACAAACACAGAUCAGGAAGGUUCUUCCCCAAAACUCACACNNNN
rnacentral:lncRNA from 1 species